UACGGAGGGUGCAAGCAUUAAUCGGAUUUAUUGGGCGUAAAGGGCGCGUAGGCGGCCUGAAAAGUCAGAUGUGAAAUCCCGGGGCUCAACCCCGGAACAGCAUAUGAAACUUUCAGACUAAGAGGGUAGGCGGAGAAAAUGGAAUUCCACAAGUAGCGGUGAAAUGCGUAGAUAUGUGGAAGAACACCAGUGGCGAAGGCGAUUUUCUAGCUUAUACCUGACGCUGAGGCGCGAAAGCGUGGGGAGCAAACAGG
rnacentral:rRNA from 1 species